rnacentral:rRNA from 1 species
AUGGCGCCCGUGACGCUCCGGCCCAGCGCGCACACGAACGAGUCGCUACCGCCGCCUGAGGAUAUGGUGGUUGUUCCCAGCGAGGAGCAACAGCAGCUCCCGCCAAGGCGCCAGCAAACCAACCGGAUGUGCUCGCUCGGCCUGAAAUUUCCAAUUACAGAGCCCAGGAUAGCGACUUGGCUCAUCGUGCACCCCGGCCUCGCUCGCCCCGGAGCGUGGUCACCGAUUCGUCACCUCGCCAGUACAAGGACCCAGAGGGCGACCACAUGCUCCUCUGUGAGUUCAAGAACAAGGCGGCUCUGA